CCUACGGGUGGCUGCAGUGGGGAAUAUUGGACAAUGGGGGCAACCCUGAUCCAGCCAUGCCGCGUGUGUGAAGAAGGCCCUCGGGUUGUAAAGCACUUUCAGUGAGGAAGAACGCCUGGUGGUUAAUACCCAUCAGGAAAGACAUCACUCACAGAAGAAGCACCGGCUAACUCCGUGCCAGCAGCCGCGGUAAUACGGAGGGUGCGAGCGUUAAUCGGAAUUACUGGGCGUAAAGCGCGCGUAGGUGGCUUGAUAAGCCGGUUGUGAAAGCCCCGGGCUCAACCGGGGAACGGCAUCCGGAACUGUCAAGCUAGAGUGCAGGAGAGGAAGGUAGAAUUCCCGGUGUAGCGGUGAAAUGCGUAGAGAUCGGGAGGAAUACCAGUGGCGAAGGCGGCCUUCUGGACUGACACUGACACUGAGGUGCGAAAGCGUGGGUAGCAAACAGGAUUAGAUACCCGAGUAGUC
rnacentral:rRNA from 1 species